CUAUGAUAAGGUUCUAUAUAAGAUUCAUCAAUCUCGUGUUCUUUCAUAUAUAUAUUUUUCUGUUUUGGUUAUUUUUUUCAAAUAUAAUUUGAAGAGAAUCAUUUGUUUAUUGUUUAUUGCUUAUUGUUUCAUAGAAUAGAGUUGCCAAAUGUGACUUGUAUGUCAUUUGUCUAUUUCUAGCAUUCAAAUUUCUAUCCUAUGAAAACUUUGUCAUGCCUUGGUUAUGCACGGUUCAUGCUCAUCAAAGGUUGAUAAUAAGUCAUAUAUUCAUGUUAGAGAAGUGCUUAAAAGUCAAUAGUUUGUUUAAUGUUAGUUGAUUAAUUUGUUUGAAUCAAUGAUUUAGUUCUACUUUAGCAGAACUGUUUCUAUUGUCAAGAAUAGAAAUUACGAUGUAUAUAUGCAACUAACUAAUCGAUAAAGAUGACGAUGGUUACAUGUGGAGAAUGAGAUAACCCUUUCCGUUUGCUGUCAUAUUCACAUACUCAUUUACAAGGUUGCGGCAGAAUUUGUAGAACUAUAUAAAUUGAGCAAUUGAAAUGUACUGGUUAUAGAGGAAGUGAAGCAAAUGCUUGCAAAUGUUUUCCACAAUAACAUCCUUUGGUUAUGGAUUAUGUACAUCUAGACCAAAUUUAAUCAAGAGAGCUGACACUUUAUUUAAAAUAUUAAUUCACAUAGUAGCAUGAAGAGAUUGUAGCAAUUGUUCUUGUGUGAGGUGUAAAAGAUGGUUUAUUAACCCAAUCAGUGUUGUGCUUUAAUGUUUAUUAUUUCACUGUCUAUCUCAUGUCAAGAUAAAGGGGGAUUGCGGUAGAUAACCAACAACGAGUGUAAAACUUAAGUUGAAUCUAUGUUAGGAUAUCGUUGUUUGACAGAAGGUUUCCUAUAAGAAAUUUUGUAUAUAUAUAUCAUUUUAAUCUUAAUACUAAAAUUUGUUAGGCGACACUAUGGACUACAUCUUUUGAUUAAUCUUGUGAAUCUUUUUUUGGUUUGCUAAGGAUUUUUGCUUUUGGAGGAUUGAUUGACCUGGAAGCUUGCAUGCGUUUGAAUUAUGAUGAUAUUAGAUCCUGAAGAGUGGCCUGCAGCUGGUCGGUGAGAAAAAGACUCGUACAUCUGACUUGAUUGUUGUGCUACUACUUUCCCUGUUGUUGGAUCCUGAGGUGUCCUGGAUCUCAAUUGCACCUGGUUGCAAUUCUACAGCCAUUGAUUUCUCCUGAGCAGAAGAGAGCAUAUUUACCAUUCAGUGUAAAGUGUACUUGCGCUUGGUGUCAAGUUCACCAAUUUUGAAGGGAAAUAGUAUGGAAGCUCGAGUAUGUAACCUUGGCGUGCUUGACAACCUUUAUAAAACUAGGCCAGGAGCAAUCUGUGCUAUGUGCUGACUUAUUAGAUUGUCUAUAUUGCAAAGAAAAAAAACAUGAACCAUUUUUAAUUUUCAAUACAUAUACAAAUCUGUUGAAGGAUUUUUAAUGAACUUUUCAUAUGCUUUUAAGAUGAAAAGUGAUGAAUGUUAUUUGUUAGGGCAAUUUAUGAAUUAUAAGCAUAUGCACAUAUAGUUGUUUGAUAAUUAUUGCAUGCUUUGAUUAAUUAUGCAGUUAUUAGCUUUAAUUUAUCAUUCAAUUGUGUGAAUCUAAAUAAAUAUUCAGAGAAUACUUGACUUUAUUACUUUUAAAAUGCAUAUGAACUAUUGUUUUGUGAUCUCGACUGCAAGCGAACUCUUGUUGAUGAUUCAUUUGCAAGAAGAGAUUUAGCUCGUGGACAUAUCCUCUCAGAUUCUAUUCAACAGGACAAUGACACAACUUAGUUUAUGUGCCUUGAGGACGGGUCUUAUUGCAGAAGCGCAUGGGUGCAUGUCUGAAAUUUAUACAUACGGUAGGGUUAAGAAGCUGCUUGCGCAAGGUGUAUCUCAAAAUUGGUAUCCUGAAAAAAAUCUUGAGCAGGUAUGUGCCACAUUUAUUGCUAAAUUUUUUUCAUCCAACCUAAUAUAACUUAUUUAUCAUAAUAAUGCCUCUUCCUUAGUAAUGAUCACAAGAGUUUGUUCAAAUGGUAAUAUCCUUUAGCACGCACGCACGCAUGCACGUGUGUUCUUCAAUCCAUGCCUUCAGCAUGCCUUCAGCACUUCAGAAGAUAUUAUUUGAUUUUUUUUAAACGUCUUUACUUACAAUCCUUCUGCAAUAGUGAUGACAAUGUUUAAUACUUCUCUUCAGGAAAAUUUUUAGACAAAGCAUCCCCAAUUGCUAUAUGAGUCAAAGUUGUACAGAAUCUUGCUAGGAGGAACUGGGAUUCAAAAUGUGAAGUGGUUUGGUGUUGAAGGAAACCAUAAUGUCGUUGUUAUGGAUUUACUGGGACUGGUCUUGAAGACCUUUUCAAUUUCUGCAGUAGGAAGCUAUCACUAAAGACUGUUCUUAUGUUGGCUGAUCAAACGAGUAUCAAACCAGACGAUUUCCUAAUGGGAUUAGGCAGACGAGCAAAUCAGGUUUACAUUAUAGAUUUUGACCUUGCUAAGAAGUAUAGGGAUACUUCAAAGCACCAACACACCUUAUAGAGAGAAUAAGAACUUGACUGGGACUGUGAGGUAUGCAAGCAUGAACGUCCAACUUGGUAUAGAACAAAACAGGAGGGAUGAUCUAGAAUCUCUAGGAUUUGUUCUCACAUAUUUUUUACGAUGAAGGUCUAAAAGCUGGAACAAAGAAUCAGAAAUAUGAAAAAAUUAGUGAAACAAAAGUUACCACCGCUAUUGAGGAUUUCUAUUUGAAUAUGUGUUUGAUUGGACCAUAUUGAAGUAUCACCAAUCACAAAUUGCUAGCACUCCUCCAUGACCUCUUGGUUCUGGAGCUGGACCUUGCUCAUUUCUUUUUCUCUGCGUUGGCAACAAAUCUUGGUGGUAAUGAAGGGAGAACAAGUGGUUGGUUAGCAGACCCUUCUCGUCGCAGUGCAUCGGGACAAGCCGUAAAUGCAGGGAGCUUACUAAAAAAACGGGUAGCAAAUGAUUCAAAAGAGGCUUUGGUGAAUCAAUAGUUCUAUAUGUCAUUGUUUUUAGCCUGUGAUAAUUCGGCUUCAGUGGAUCUAUGCGACAUCUGAAUUUCAUUCUAAUAGGAAACUUAUUAAAACCCAAUCUGAGAGUGAACUCUACAGGAAAUAUCAAUUAAACCUGAUCCAUAUCUGUAAAUACAAAUCUGAUUCUUUUUAGUUAUAGUUUCAUGGUUUUUCGCCUUUGGUUUAA